rnacentral:tRNA from 1 species
GUAGUGCAAUGGAUAGUGCGUUGGACUUCUAAUCCAAAGGACGUGGAUUCGAACCCCCCCCU